GGCAGAGCAGAUGAAUUACUGAUAUGUAUCCAGUUCUAGAAACAAGGUAAGACUAGAAUAGGCACCAAACAAGAAAACAAGGCAAAACUAGCAGAAACGAAGAAGGAUAGAAAGCUGAACCCAGAACAUGUACACAAUACUUAAGGGAAACAUUAACAGAACAGGGGCAGGACCGUACAUGGAUUGGGAAUACAAAAUAAGACAAACGAUAUAAG